CUGAGUUUCUCUUUCUACGACCAAUUACUGCCAAAUGCAAACUUAAGCUGGGGAAUACACUUCCAUGCUGCUUUUGCCUGAUGGAGGUCACCGGCAACUGAUGUACCAUCUCAGAAUCUCAGGAACAUCGGAGGAUCUGGCUCUCUACUACUGAAGCAGGAGAUCAACAGAUCUGGGCUGAUGGCAAAGUCUUCACUGGAUCCUUUGGUGGAAUACAGGAAUGAGAUAUCAGGUAAGUAGCAAAGUCCUUGGCAGGUGUAAGUAGCUGAAGUCUUGAUCCAAAGCCCACGCAAAGAAACUGGACGUGGCUGCCUCAACGGUGGACAGCCCCUGCGUCAUCACUGACAGUUCCUUAAAUGCUCUAUGUGGUGCGAAUUCCUGAGGCACACUCUGGCGGAUGCUGCCCCUAACUGGUUCCAGCCAGCUCUCAGUCCCUCAAGUUCUGGAGGGAAACAGAGUUUCAGCAGGAAAUUGCCAUGAAGAAAGGAUACCAAGAUGGAGUUCAAACCUUUCCUACCACAUGCGCCAUCUUGAAUUCUUAGAUUCCAUUUUGAAUUGCAGCAACAUUUAUUAUAAUACAUAACAAAAGUAUAGCCAUACACCAAUAACAUGACCUGACAUUCCUUUUAGGAAUCAUUUAGUGGUUGUAUUUAUGAUAUGGUUUUGUCCUUGUCCACAAGUCACUGGAUAAAAUUACUGAGAUAUAUCAUUAAAAAGAAAAGGAGGACUCUGUGGCACCUUAGAGACUAACAAAUUUAUUUGAGAUAUCAUUGUUACAAUUACUUCUGGGUCACUGCUUGCCUUCUGAAAGGUGGAAAAAGGUCUGGGUGUAGUAGGGAAAAUAGUGUUUUAGCCUAGGCAAGCAGGUUGGAAUCUGGAACAACCCAGCAAAUAGGUGAUCGCCCAAACACAUAAAUGGUUCUUUGAGGCUGACAUCAUGAGCAGAACAACCUUAGGGAUGACAUGAUAGACAACUGACAGACAGCCUACAUGGCAUCAGAUGUCCUUUUCAUUAAACCUUUAUGUUAUUAUAUUUAUCAUGAUUAAUCUUGGUGAAAGUGAAGUCCUUAAUGUUCUUGCAUGUCUUUCAGCAGGAUAAAUACAACUUUAGAAUUUUUUAUCCCUGAAGGAUUUGCUUCAGAUUUCACUUUUCCCUGUCAAGAUAAAAUGAACAGUGUAUUACGUCGCUCAGUUCUGUGCACAACAAGAGUCAUCUUGCUUUUAUUGAAUUCACAUAGUAUGGCAAUUUUCAAGAUGUUGAAGGUAAUUCUCUAAACACAGGUUCUUUAGAAACCCUCUCACUUUGUUCCUGUGUAGGACAGGUAGUCCAGAGGCUAAACAAAAUGAGACACUGCUAAUGAUAGCUCUUAAAAUCCUUGCCAUUGACUCAGCAAAGCUUCUGAUCAUGCAUAUAGGGAAAAGCUUGUACUGUUAUAGAUUUAUAUCUUGCCCAUAAUUCAUCCUCAUUUUGUCUAGAACUUGUCAAUACUCGUGAAAAGAACUGGCUUUUAGCUUAGAACAAGUGAAGUUUCUAAUAAAGCACAGUACAGAAGUUCUUAUACAAGUUGUUUUCAUUUUUAGAGUUUAUCCCAAAUUAAAGUUUUUACACCAAAUACAAAUAAAAAAGAAAGAGGUGGUUGUGACACUCUGUACCUUGGGGGACCACCCUUCACCCCCAUGUUAAUCCUUAUAAUAUGAUUGUGUGGUAUCCAAUGCAAAGUUUGUCAUGUCGGGUGUCUUCGGAAGAUUCAUGAUGCACUGAGCAUUGUUGUUAUAGUAGUGUUAUAGGUUGUAAUUUCAUGUAUAUAGUUAUGAGGCUGAAAAUGUGUCCUCCUGGCUUAAAACAAGCCCAGACAAAACUUAAAACAAGCCUAGGAGCAGAGGGGCAGUUCACACCUCAUCAGGGCAUGUAUGGGACAAACCCAGCCCAGCCUCACAGGAACAAAGGACACUGGUCUAGGCAGCAACAAAGGAUCUGUUGGACACUUGAGUGAGUCACCCCCCUUCCCUUGAUCAAUUUGGGACUACGAUGAGGUAAUGCUCACCUGACUUUGAAGGGGGUGGGCAAAGCCAAGAGGGAAGAAUGGACAUGAUAAAAGGGAGAGACAUUUGCCAUGCUGGCUCUCUCUUCCACCUCCAUCUACAGACACCACCACCAAGCGACUGAAGCGCUGAUCAAAGGGGAGAGCCUGGCUGAAGGGCAACCAGCCAGCCUGCGGUGAGAAGCAUCUAAGUUUGUAAGGACACUGAAAGUGUUAAGAUCAGCUUAGAAUGUGUUUUGCUUUUAUUUCAUUUGACCAAAUUUGACUUAUGUUUUGACUUAUAAUCGCUUAAAAUCUAUCUAUAUUUCUCACAAAACCUGGAUAUGUGCUGGAAAUGGCCCAACUUGAUUAUCAUACACAUUGUAAGGAGAGUGAUCACUUUAGAUAAGCUAUUAGCAGCAGGAGAGUGGGGUGGGAGGAGGUAUUUUUUCAUGCUUUGUGUGUAUAUAAAAAGAUCUUCUACACUUUCCACAGUAUGCAUCCGAUGAAGUGAGCUGUAGCUCAUGAAAGCUUAUGCUCAAAUAAAUCACUUAACUGACAAUGGACUUUGGGAAACUCCAAUCCACAUUGACAUUUCCUGGGAACAUUCAAACUAACAUGUAAACAAUGGCGUCAGCCUGCAAAAAGCUGAAUCAUUCAUGGACAUGUGACUUGCCCAGGUGGCUACAAACUCAUAUUGUCACUGUGAUUUUGCACAGAAGAAUAAAGGGAUUUCUGCCCACAAGGGAGAGAACAUAAAAGGCUCUGGAAGCCCCUCCAUUUUGUGUUCAGCUGGCUCAAGAGAUGGCCUCUCCACCCCAAAGAGGUGCCUGAAAGAAACUGGAACAAAGGACUGUAACUAUGGGGGUGUGAGUGAUUGCUGGACCCAGGCUAUAAACCACAAUGUUGGUCUGAAAAGGAUUGGGCCCAGACUAGGAAGGAGUCUAGUUUGUGAAAGAAGCUUAUUGGAACAUCUCUGAGGGUGAGAUUUACCUGUAUUCAGCUUAGACUUGCAUGUUUUGUUUUAUUUUUCUUGGUAACUUACUUUGUUCUGGCUGUUAUUACUUGGAACCACUUAUAUCCUACUUAAUAAAAUCACUUUUGUGUAUUAA